GACAAGGGAGGAUACAUAUGGAUAUGACGCUACAAACCAUAAGGAACAGAGGAGCAAUGGGGAAUAGGUGUAAACACAUUCAAACACACCCACAACCUCUAAUUCCAUCCUCUUCUUGACUCCAUUAUUCACAAAAUUUUUUCUGUAUUUUCCCUUUUCUUUUUGUUUUUUUUUUUCAUUUUGUCUCUUUUUUUUUCUAAUCAACACACAAUUCAAAAGACAAGAUACAUGAUAUUUAAAGUGCAACCGCAAGACGAGGACUCACUAGACAAUUCAUCUGUAACUCCUAAGAGACC
rnacentral:lncRNA from 1 species